GGAAAACAACGAGAGGAGGGGGGCAUGGACCUGACCUCCAGCGAAUGUAAAUUGUAACAAAUAUCUGAAGAUAAAAUGCAAUCACAGUAAACAAGAUACGAACAAAAACUAAUGAAAGGUGCUUAAGGGUAUUCCCGAGGGUAAAUCUUCGGGUGGUAGUACAUAGACAUUGAUCGGGUCAUGCGUCUGGUUUGAAACAUUUCCGGAUCAUAGUAGUCUGAGAUGUUUGGCUCGCUCGUUGGAGAGGGGUCUCGCCUGCGUGUAGGAGCCUGCUUUGGUGAUAAGUACUGUUCGGAUGGUGGUGCACUGAAUGUCGGGCGAAAAGCGGGUGCAUCUGAUCUCAUUGUACUAGUCGUAGGUGUGUCUAAUCUCAUGGUGUUCUGUGCUACGACAUCUGAAUCGUGGGAGAUUGACUUGCUUGCUGUAGGGACAUCGUCCUCUGCAUUUUUCAUGCAGUUUCCAAGGCCCAUGCCAUCCAUGUCUCUCUGUAUAUGUUCUUUCACCUUAUUGUGUGUAGGAGCUGUGAUAGAAGGACCAGGUGAAGGUGUAUGCGUAGGAGUCUUACUUAUAGAAGGUCCCUCUCCAAAGAGCUUAAAAA
rnacentral:lncRNA from 1 species